CUAUUUUAUAUUCACUCGUUCAAGUGCUGAUCUAUUUUUAAAUUGAAUAUUUAUUUUUAUUCAAAUAUAUUGAAAUUAAUAUGGAAACAAAAGUUCAUAAAUAUUAUUCUUAAUAACAAGAAUUGAGAUUUGGGGAUAAGUUUGAAAAGCCAUGUCAGAAGAGUAGGAUUAAAGACAAAGUAUUAAGAGUAAUUGGGCUGUUCCUGAACAAUAUUGAAUAUAAAUAUUCAAAAAUAUGAUAAACUGCAUAUCCUACUAAGUAGAUCAAUACCAAAAUUCCAUUAGAGAAAUAAGUUAAAAUUAUGUUUUACUUGUAUAAUUUUCUUGCUAUUUGUCCACCAUUAUUUGUGACUUAGAAAUUAAAUAGUCAAAAAGAA